rnacentral:piRNA from 1 species
UGGGUACCACUUGACUCUGACCUUGCUGAC